GACGUAGGGCGCGAGCGUUGUCCGGAUUUAUUGGGCGUAAAGAGCUCGUAGGCGGCUCGUUGCGUCGGCUGUGAAAACCCGCAGCUCAACUGUGGGCUUGCAGCUGAUACGGGCGGGCUGGAGUUCGGUAGGGGAGACUGGAAUUCCUGGUGUAGCGGUGAAAUGCGCAGAUAUCAGGAGGAACACCGGUGGCGAAGGCGGCCACCUGGACAGAGACUGACGCUGAGACGCGAAAGCGUGGGUAGCAAACAGG
rnacentral:rRNA from 1 species